rnacentral:misc_RNA from 1 species
UACAGAGGCCCCGAGCGUUAAUCGGAAUCACUGGGCUUAAAGGGUGCGUAGGCGGACCAGCAAGUGCUUUGUGAAAGCCCACGGCUCAACCGUGGAACUGCGGGGCAUACUGCUGGUCUUGAGACAGGUAGGGGCCGCGAGAACUCUAGGUGGAGCGGUGAAAUGCGUAGAUAUCUAGAGGAAUGCCGAUGGUGAAGACGCGCGGCUGGGCCUGUUCUGACGCUCAGGCACGAAAGCGUGGGGAGCAAACAGG